AUCCAGCUGUCGAGUCCCAAAUAGGGCGAAACGCACGUCCUGGAU
rfam:Schistosoma rodhaini strain Burundi genome assembly, scaffold: SROB_scaffold0003977